rnacentral:rRNA from 1 species
CAUGGAGGGUGAGAAUCCCGUUCGGUUGACCUUAUGACGCUCUACGAUACGCUCUCUAAGAGUCGAGUUGUUUGGGAUUGCAGCUCAAAAUGGGAGGUAAAUUUCUCCUAAGGCUAAAUAUCGGCGAGAGACCGAUAGCGAACAAGUACCGUGAGGGAAAGAUGAAAAGAACUUUGAAAAGAGAGUAAAAUAGUACGUGAAAUUGUUGAAAGGGAAACGAUUGAAGUCAGUCGUACCGACGAGAAAUCAACUUAUCGUGUGCGAACUUGUGGGCGUGCGUGAGUUUCGGCCUCGCUGUUUGCAUGUUUGUGCGUUUUGGGUGUACUUUUUCGUAUGGUAGGCCAACGUCAGUUUCGAUUAUCAUAAAAUGACCGGCGGAAUGUAGCUUCGAUUUCGGUUGAAGUGUUAUAGCCUCUGGUAGAUGUGGUGAUUGAGACUGAGGAUUGCAACGAAUACCCUUUGGGCUAUCCGUCUGGCCUCUGAAAGUUGCUCAGGUGCCGAAAGCGUGCUUACGGUCAUCUAAGAUAACGUUCAACAGGUUAGAACGUGAUUACAUUCGUUAAGGAUGUUGACGUA